UUCGUGGAUCACCUCACGGUGCGGAUAAUUUGAAGAGGAUACGGCAGGCUUCCACGGCGAGACGCAAAUCCUGUUCGGAACGGAAAUACCUACCGGGAAAAAGCAACGUGCGUCAGAACCGAACGGCUAGGGGCCAUCUUGUGAGACAAGGGAAAAACAACUCGCCGCUAGCGCAAAGGCAAAACCCCAUCUCCGGUGCGAACUUCCUAGUGCGGAAAAACACUCAUCCAGGGUAGAACAAUGAGAGGCGGAACAGUACACCCCGUCGGAAAAAAGCCUUGCACGUGCUCACCAUCUUGUUACACGCGGGAAACCUCUCGAAGAUCGUACACCCGGGCACGGAAGUACAGG